rnacentral:lncRNA from 1 species
GAAAAAAUACAUAUCUUGCAUUCUGUGUAAGACACUAUAGAGCAUGCAUUUGAAUACUGUGAAAAUAACCAGCUGCCCUCCAUUGAGUUCUGCACCAUUAAUAGACUGGAGUCAGGGCUUGAAGAUACUUACGCUUGGAAUUCAACUACCAAAACCUAUCAAGUAAAGCCUCUCUGUUCCUCAACAAAUACCUUGGUUUCUUUGGGAAGAAAUUCAGAGAACC